UACCAGCACCCCGAGUGGUCGGGACGUUUAUUGGGCCUAAAGCAUCCGUAGCCGGUUCUACAAGUCUUCCGUCAAAUCCACCUGCUUAACAGAUGGGCUGCGGAAGAUACUAUAGAGCUAGGAGGCGGGAGAGGCAAGCGGUACUCGAUGGGUAGGGGUAAAAUCCGUUGAUCCAUUGAAGACCACCAGUGGCGAAGGCGGCUUGCCAGAACGCGCUCGACGGUGAGGGAUGAAAGCUGGGGGAGCAAACCGG
rnacentral:rRNA from 1 species